AUCCGGCUGACGAGUCCCAAGUAGGACGAAACGCGCGUUCUGGAU
rfam:Schistosoma mattheei strain Denwood, Zambia genome assembly, scaffold: SMTD_scaffold0016550